rnacentral:rRNA from 1 species
GAUCAAAUCAAGCGCGAGAAGGGCGUUUGGUGGAUGCCUUGGCAGUAAGAGGCGAUGAAAGACGUGAUACCCUGCGAUAAGCUUGGGGGAGCCGGGAAUAGGCUUUGAUCCCAAGAUCUCUGAAUGGGGGAACCCACCUGAAAGUUUGUUAUAAUAGCCGCAAGGCUGCUUAUAAUGGGCUUAACCAGGUACUUAAGGACUGAAUACAUAGGUCUUUAAGAGCAAACCCGGGGAACUGAAACAUCUAAGUACCCGGAGGAAAGGACAUCAAUAGAGACUCCGUUAGUAGCGGCGAGCGAACGCGGACCAGCCGAGCCUGAUGAGUGACCAGAAUGCGUUGGGAAACGCAGCCAGAGCGGGUGACAGCCCCGUAUGGGAAGCUCUGAGGGACGUAUUAAGUAGGGCGGGACACGUGAAAUCCUGUUCGAAGACCGGAGGACCACCUCCGAAGGCUAAGUACUCCUUACUGACCGAUAGCGAACCAGUACCGUGAGGGAAAGGUGAAAAGCACCCCGGCGAGGGGAGUGAAACAGUACCUGAAACCGAACGCCUACAAUCAGUUGGAGGCCCCUUGAGGGCUGACAGCGUACCUUUUGUAUAAUGGGUCAUCGACUUGGUCUCACGAGCAAGCUUAAGCCGCUAGGCGGAGGCGCAGCGAAAGCGAGUCUUAAUAGGGCGCAUGAGUUCGUGGGAUCAGACCCGAAACCGAGUGAUCUAGGCAUGGCCAGGCUGAAGAUGCGGUAACACGCAUUGGAGGGCCGAACCCACAUCCGUUGAAAAGGAUCGGGAUGAGCUGUGCCUAGGGGUGAAAGGCCAAUCAAACUCGGAGAUAGCUGGUUCUCUGCGAAAUCUAUUUAGGUAGAGCGUCAUCCGAAUACCCCGGGGGGUAGAGCACUGGAUGGGUAAUGGGGCCCCACAGGCUUACUGAUCCUAACCAAACUCCGAAUACCCGGGAGUACUAGAUGGCAGACACACGGCGGAUGCUAACGUCCGUCGUGGAGAGGGAAACAACCCUGACCUCCGGCUAAGGCCCCCAAUUCAUGGCUAAGUGGGAAAGCAGGUGAGACGUCCAAAACAACCAGGAGGUUGGCUUAGAAGCAGCCAUCCUUUAAAGAUAGCGUAACAGCUCACUGGUCUAAUUAAGAUGUCUUGCGGCGAAGAUGUAACGGGGCUCAAGCCAUGAGCCGAAGCCGAGGAUGCACAUAGUGCAUGGUAGCAGAGCGUAGUGUGACAUAGUUCCAUGCGUCCUUACUUUCCUCCGGGAAAGAUUGGACGCAAGGAGCUUUCGAUGAAGCCGGGGCGUGAGCCAUCCGGUGGAGAGAUCACUAGCGAGAAUGAUGACAUGAGUAGCGACAAAGAGUGUGAGAGACACUCUCGCCGAAAGUCCAAGGGUUCCUGCUUAAAGCUAAUCUGAGCAGGGUAAGCCGGCCCCUAAGCCGAGGCCGAAAGGCGUAGGCGAUGGGAACCACGUUAAUAUUCGUGGGCCAGGAGGAUGUGACGGAUCGUGAGGGUAGUUCAUUCUUAUCGGAUUGAAUGGGCUGCUGAUCGGUUCCUGGAAAUAGCCCUCCAUCAGACCGUACCCUAAACCGACACAGGUGGACUGGUAGAGAAUACCAAGGCGCUUGAGAGAACGAUGUUGAAGGAACUCGGCAAAAUACCUCCGUAAGUUCGCGAGAAGGAGGCCCGGGUUCAAGGCAACUUGGAUCCGGGGGCACAAACCAGGGGGUGGCGACUGUUUAUUAAAAACACAGGGCUCUGCGAAGCCGCAAGGCGACGUAUAGGGUCUGACGCCUGCCCGGUGCCUGAAGGUUAAAAGGAGGGGUGAGAGCUCCGAAUUGAAGCCCAGGUAAACGGCGGCCGUAACUAUAACGGUCCUAAGGUAGCGAAAUUCCUUGUCGGGUAAGUUCCGACCUGCACGAAUGGCGUAACGACUUCCCCGCUGUCUCCAACAUCGACUCAGCGAAAUUGAAUUGCCUGUCAAGAUGCAGGCUUCCCGCGGUUAGACGGAAAGACCCCGUGCACCUUUACUACAGCUUCGCACUGGCAUCAGGAUUGUGAUGUGCAGGAUAGGUGGUAGGCAUCGAAGCCGGAACGCAAGUUCCGGUGGAGCCUCCCUUGAGAUACCACCCUUCGCACUCUUGAUGUCUAACCGCGGUCCGUUAUCCGGAUCCGGGACCCUGCGUGGCGGGUAGUUUGACUGGGGCGGUCGCCUCCUAAAGAGUAACGGAGGCGCGCGAAGGUUGGCUCAGAGCGGUCGGAAAUCGCUCGUUGAGUGCAAUGGCAGAAGCCAGCCUGACUGCAAGACUGACAAGUCGAGCAGAGACGAAAGUCGGCCAUAGUGAUCCGGUGGUCCCGCGUGGAAGGGCCAUCGCUCAACGGAUAAAAGGUACGCCGGGGAUAACAGGCUGAUACUGCCCAAGAGUCCAUAUCGACGGCAGUGUUUGGCACCUCGAUGUCGGCUCAUCUCAUCCUGGGGCUGGAGCAGGUCCCAAGGGUACGGCUGUUCGCCGUUUAAAGAGGUACGUGAGCUGGGUUUAGAACGUCGUGAGACAGUUCGGUCCCUAUCUGCCGUGGGUGCAGGAUACUUGAGAGGAGUUGCCCCUAGUACGAGAGGACCGGGGUGAACGAUCCACUGGUGGACCAGUUGUUAUGCCAAUAGCAGUGCUGGGUAGCUAUGAUCGGACAGGAUAACCGCUGAAGGCAUCUAAGCGGGAAGCCCCCCUCAAAACAAGGUAUCCCUGAGGGCCGUGGAAGACCACCACGCCGAUAGGCCGGAGGUGUAAGCGCAGCAAUGCGUUCAGCUGACCGGUACUAAUCGCCCGAUAGGCUUGAUUUGAUCCAG